rnacentral:rRNA from 1 species
UACGAAGGGGGCUAGCGUUGCUCGGAAUUACUGGGCGUAAAGCGUGCGCAGGCGGUUUUGUAAGCCAGAUGUGAAAUCCCCGGGCUUAACCUGGGAAUGGCAUUUGGGACUGCAAGGCUCGAGUGCGGCAGAGGAGACUGGAAUUCCUGGUGUAGCGGUGAAAUGCGCAGAUAUCAGGAGGAACACCGGUGGCGAAGGCGGGUCUCUGGACAGUUCCUGACACUGAGGCACGAAGGCCAGGGGAGCAAACGGG